AAAGAAAGUGGGAGGCAUGCCUAACACAUGCAAGUCGAACGAAACCUCCCUGUCUAGUUGCGCACGUCUGCUUAACGCCUGGUAACCUGCCCUUAGGUUCGCUAUAACUCCCCGAAAGGUAUCCUAAUACCGCUUAAUGUCUUCCGACCAAAGAUUUCUCGCCUUUGGAUGGGCCCUCGUUAGAUUGGCGAGUUGGUAGUGUACAAGCCUGCCAAGGCCACGAUCCAUAGCUGGUCUGAUAGGAUGAUCAGCCCCACUGGGAAUGAGGCACGGACCAGACUGCUACGGGAGGGAGCAGUGGGGAGUAUUGGAGAAUGAGGGAAAGCCUAGUAAAGCAAUGCGGCGUGAGUGAGGAAGGCCUUAGGGUUGUAAAGCUCUUUUACCCGGGAUGAUAAUGACAGUACCGGGAGAAUAAGCUCCGGCUAACUACGUG
rnacentral:rRNA from 1 species